AUUGCCUCAAGGAUGAUACUUAACCAUAGCAUAGUUCACACUGAAUGAUUGUGUUGAUACCUAGCAUCUUGUCUUUCGCUCCUAUCUGAUUUUCUCA
rnacentral:snoRNA from 1 species